AUUGAACGCUGGCGGCGUGCUUAACACAUGCAAGUCGAUCGGUAACAGGUGUAGCAAUUACAUGCUGACGAGAGGCGGACGGGUGAGUAAUGCUUGGGAAUCUGCCUAUUAGUGGGGGACAACCCGGGGAACUCGGGCUAAUACCGCAUACGCUCUACGGAGGAAAGCCCGGGGACCGCAAGGCCUGGCGCUAAUAGAUGAGCCCAAGUCGGAUUAGCUAGUUGGUAGGAACGGCCUACCAAGGCGACAAUCCGUAGCUGGUCUGAGAGGACGACCAGCCACACC
rnacentral:rRNA from 1 species